UACGGAGGAUGCGAGCGUUAUCCGGAUUUAUUGGGUUUAAAGGGUGCGCAGGCGGCACGGCAAGCCGGCGGUCAAAUCGCGGGGCUCAACCCCGCCCAGCCGUCGGAACUGCCGGGCUAGAGUGGGCGAGAAGUGCGCGGAAUGCGUGGUGUAGCGGUGAAAUGCAUAGAUAUCACGUAGAACUCCGAUUGCGAAGGCAGCGCACCGGCGCCCUACUGACGCUCAGGCACGAAAGCGUGGGUAUCGAACAGG
rnacentral:rRNA from 1 species